GUCUGCUCUUUUCGUCUCCGUGGAUUCAGCGGGGAGUUUUGGAGUGAGCGCCGCGUCAGGUCAGGGGGGUUGAGCGUGUGUUUCCCUUUUCUCUGCCCAUGUGGAGAAUCUCUGGUCGGAGGCGACUCUGUAAAAAAUACACCAUAAUGAUGUUUUGAGAGCGCGCGCGCGGGGUCCUCCCACAGCAGCACAGAGGAGCACGCGGCACGGAGGAGCGCUGAAUGACAGAUUGAGAUCAUGGAAAUUACAGACAAAAGGAAAAUAUUUUGUAAUUAAACCUCCAGGACCUUCGGGAGAAUUAAGCGAAACCCAAACUCCUUGUUCUGAACGAAAACCUUCUGUAUGGCCAAGAAACAUGAGUUUGCUCCCUCAAGGUUGGGACAAACCUGGUGGCGCGUCUACAAAAUGCGACAACAUAGAAGCUGCAUGUCCUCAUACAGUUUAGCAAAAAUGCUAAACUGUUGAUAAAAAAAAAGUAUUUUUUGUUUAAUGGCUGAAAUUUUUACUUGUAGUUUGCUUUAAAACCCGACUUCUUACAUGAAAUGUAAAAUGUGUAGUAACAGAUACUUCUGGAGUUGUAGCCAAAUAAUGAGUUGAAGUGAUUUCAGUAUAUACUUUUGAAGCAACUUACUUAUGUUUUGUAACUUUUGUAAAUGAAUUCUACUGGCUCUAUAUCACGUGGAAAUAAAAGAAGCUUUAAAUUCAGA